rnacentral:rRNA from 1 species
AAGUCCCGCAAGGGAUCAGUAGAGUGGCAAACGGGUGAGUAACACGUGGGUGACCUGCCUUCGAGUGGGGGAUAACGUCCCGAAAGGGACGCUAAUACCGCAUGACAUCCCGUGUUUGGAUACACGGACAUCAAAGCCGGGGAUCGUAAGACCUGGCGCUUGAAGAGGGGCCCGCGUCCGAUUAGCUAGUUGGUGAGGUAACGGCUCACCAAGGCUCCGAUCGGUAUCCGGCCUGAGAGGGCGGACGGACACACUGGAACUGAGACACGGUCCAGACUCCUACGGGAGGCAGCAGUGGGGAAUUGUUCGCAAUGGGCGCAAGCCUGACGACGCAACGCCGCGUGGAGGAUGAAGACCUUCGGG